UACAGAGGGGGCAAGCGUUGUUCGGAAUUACUGGGCGUAAAGGGCGCGUAGGCGGCCUUCUAAGUCGAACGUGAAAUCCCCGGGCUCAACCCGGGAACUGCGUCCGAUACUGGAAGGCUUGAAUCCGGGAGAGGGAUGCGGAAUUCCAGGUGUAGCGGUGAAAUGCGUAGAUAUCUGGAGGAACACCGGUGGCGAAGGCGGCGUUCUGGACUGUUUCUGACACUGAAAAACGAAAGCCAGGGGAGCAAACGGG
rnacentral:rRNA from 1 species